GAUGAACGCUGACAGAAUGCUUAACACAUGCAAGUCAACUUGAACUUCGGUUUGGGUGGCGGACGGGUGAGUCACGCGUAAAGAACUUGCCUCACAGAUAGGGACAACAUUUGGAAACGAAUGCUAAUACCUGAUAUUAUGAUUAUAUGGCAUCGUAUAAUUAUGAAAGCUAUAUGCGCUGUGAGAGAGCUUUGCGUCCCAUUAGCUAGUUGGAGAGGUAACGGCUCACCAAGGCGAUGAUGGGUAGCCGGCCUGAGAGGGUGAUCGGCCACAAGGGGACUGAGACACGGCCCUUACUCCUACGGGAGGCAGCAGUGGGGAAUAUUGGACAAUGGACCAAGAGUCUGAUCCAGCAAUUCUGUGUGCACGAUGAAGUUUUUCGGAAUGUAAAGGGCUUUCAGUUGGGAAGAAAAAAAUGACGGUACCAACAGAAGAAGUGACGGCUAAAUACGUG
rnacentral:rRNA from 1 species